rnacentral:rRNA from 1 species
GUGUGAGGUGUAAGACAGUAUGCCAAGGUGUAAUUGUUAUUGCUUUAAGUUUGCUGGAAUGCAAUGCCACAGAGGGUGAUAGCCCCGUUAAAGCUGUAACUUGCCUGCUAACUGGGUAUUGUCUUUUGAGUACAACUGUUUGAAAUUGCAGUUGGAAGUGGGUGGUAAACUCCAUCCAAGGCUAAAUACGAGCAUGAAUCUGAUAGUAAACAAGUACCGUGAGGGAAAGUUGAAAAGUACUUUGAAAAGAGAGUAAAAUAGUACGUGAAACCGUUAUGAGGAAAUCGGGUGGAAUACUAUUGGGCCAUAUUGUAUCUUGCUCUUGCAGCACUUGAUACCUUUUAAUGGACACAGCAGUUUUGCUAAUCACAAAUGGCAUUUGAGACUAGUUUAUAACAUAGUUAUUUACUGGUUCAAAUACUGGUGGUGUUGUGGCAGUGAUGUGCACAUCUGCUGAAUUCAGGGUUCCACCUGACCCGUCUUGAAACACGGACCAAGGAGUCUAAUGCAUGCGCAAGUCAUUGUGCUAUUAGAAAGCAUAAAGGCGAAAUGAAAGUAACAUUUCAAAGGCGAUGGACUCACAUAGUGAAUCAGGCAGCCUUGGGCGGCAAAACAGUUAUGUUUUGUCUGACUUUGAGCGCAUGUGUUAGGACCCGAAAGAUGGUGAUCUAUGCUAGGGGAGAGUGAAGCCACGGGAAACCAUGGUGGAAGCUCGAAGCGGUUCUAACGUGCAAAUUGAUCGCGUCACCUUGGUAUAGGGGCGAUAGACUAAUCGAACCAUCUAGUAGCUGGUUCCCUCCGAAGUUUCCCUCAGGAUAGCUGGCGCUCAUGGAAACAGUUUUAUCGGGUAAAGCGAAUGAUUAGAGGUAUUGGGGAUCGCGUUUCCUCAACCUAUUCUCAAACUUUAAAUUGGUAAGAAGCACUUGUUUCUUAACUGAACUUGUGCAGUUUGAAUGUGAGCUCCAAGUGGGCCGCUUUUGGUAAGCAGAACCGGCGAUGUGGGAUGAACCAAAAGUUUAGUUAAGACGCCAAACGUAGUGCUCAUGAGAUACCACAAAAGGUGUUGAUUGAUAUUGACAGCAGGACGGUGGCCAUGGAAGUUGGCAUCUGCUAAGGAGUGUGUAACAACUCACCUACCGAAUCAAUCAGCCCUGAAAAUUGAUGGCGCUAGAGCACUUGGUCUAUACUGAACUGUGACGUUUGUAUGGCCCGUCACAUGUAGGAGGGUACACUGGUUGCGUUGAAGUGUAUCUGCGUGAGCAGACAUGGAGCAGCCAGUGCAGCAGAUCUUGGUAGUAGUAGCAAGUACUCAAGUAAGAAUCUUGAGGGCCGAAGUGGGGAAGGUCUUCAUGUGAACAGCAAUUGUACAUGGGUUAGUCAGCCCUAAGCGACAGGUGAAAACCAGUGAAUUUGAGCAUUAGCUCUUUGUUGCAAAAGGGAAUGAGGUUAACAUUCCUCAACUUAGCUCAUAUGGUCAACGGCGGCAACGCAUGUGUGCUCUUGGGACGUUGGUAUGCGACCGGGGAAGAGUUUUCUUUUCUUAUUAAGAAGUGACGGCCUUGGAAUUAGAUUAUCUAGAGAUAAGGCGUCUAGCUUCUAAGAGCACAGCAGGUUUUGCUGUGUCCCGCGCUCU